rnacentral:rRNA from 1 species
AGAGCGAACGCUGGCGGCAGGCCUAACACAUGCAAGUCGAGCGCCCGUAGCAAUACGGGAGCGGCAGACGGGAGAGUAACACGUGGGAACGCGCCCUUCGGUUCGGAAUAACUCAGGGAAACUUGAGCUAAUACCGGAUACGCCCUUACGGGGAAAGAUUUAUUGCCGAAGGAACGGCCCGCGUCCGAUUAGCUUGUUGGUGAGGUAACGGCUCACCAAGGCGACGAUCGGUAGCUGGUCUGAGAGGAUGACCAGCCUCACUGGGACUGAGACACGGCCCAGACUCCUACGGGAGGCAGCAGUGGGGAAUAUUGGACAAUGGGCGCAAGCCUGAUCCAGCCAUGCCGCGUGGAUGAUGAAGGCCCUAGGGUUGUAAAGUCCUUUUAACGGGAAGAUAAUGACGGUACCCGUAGAAUAAGCCCGGCUAACUUCGCGCCAGCAGCCGC